rnacentral:rRNA from 1 species
GGAUUAGAUACCCUGGUAGUCCACGCCGUAAACGUUGUGCACUAGUCGUCGGGGGUAUUCACCCCUCCGGUGACGAAGCUAACGCAUUAAGUGCACCGCCUGGGAAGUACGGCCGCAAGGCUAAAACUCAAAGGAAUUGACGGGGGCCCGCACAAGCGGUGGAGCAUGUGGUUUAAUUCGAUGCAACGCGAAGAACCUUACCUGGCCUUGACAUCCCGAGAAUCCCUGUGAAAGCAGGGAGUGCCCUAGGGAAUUCGGUGACAGGUGCUGCAUGGCUGUCGUCAGCUCGUGCUG